rnacentral:misc_RNA from 1 species
GACUAAGAGAAAUAUUAUAAGGAGGAAACAAACUACAAAGAGAUCAGAAGGUUAGCCAAUAGGCUUAUUCUCUGGCGAACAGCAGAAAAUACCAGUGAAGUGGAAUAAUAAGACUUGCAAAGUCUGCUCCUAUUCAUCUUUACCAGGCCCAACUCAUAACAUAAAAGCCAUGAUGAAUCACAUCCUGGCCUUUCAGACAAAAAUUUCAACCAUCCAAGAUUACGUAAAAAAAGACAUAGAUAACCCUAAUUUCGGAAAUGCUGCAGUGGCAAGAACAGUAAAUCACAACAGCAAUGUGAAUAGGAAUUUUAUUUAUUUAUUUUAUUGCUAGACUUUUUCUUCUGAAUCAUUUAUGCCCACUUUGCUUUUGUCUAGUGAAG